rnacentral:tRNA from 2 species
GGGGCCGUAGUCUAGCCUGGCUAGGAUAGUGGCAACACCCUAAAGCCGGCCUGGGGCGCCGGUGAACCCGGGUUCAAAUCCCGGCGGCCCCACCA